rnacentral:rRNA from 1 species
UACGGAGGGGGCUAGCGUUGUUCGGAAUUACUGGGCGUAAAGCGCGCGUAGGCGGCUUUGUAAGUUAGAGGUGAAAGCCCGGAGCUCAACUCCGGAAUUGCCUUUAAGACUGCAUCGCUAGAAUCAUGGAGAGGUUAGUGGAAUUCCGAGUGUAGAGGUGAAAUUCGUAGAUAUUCGCAAGAACACCAGUGGCGAAGGCGGCUCACUGGCCCGAUACUGACGCUGAGGCACGAAAGCGUGGGGAGCAAACAGG